rnacentral:rRNA from 1 species
CACGUAGGGCGCAAGCGUUGUCCGGAAUUAUUGGGCGUAAAGAGCUCGUAGGUGGUUUGUUACGUCUGCUGUGAAAACCUAGGGCUUAACCCUGGGCUUGCAGUGGAUACGGGCAGACUAGAGGUAGGUAGGGGAGAAUGGAAUUCCUGGUGUAGCGGUGAAAUGCGCAGAUAUCAGGAGGAACACCGGUGGCGAAGGCGGCGACCUGGGUCGAGACUGACGCUGAGGCGCGAAAGCGUGGGGAGCAAACAGG